GAAGGCACACGUGCUAGUGUGGUGCAUGUAAACACAGUGUGGGCUGACAUCAUGUGCUUUGGUUUCAUUUCUUUUACUCAGACAACGCUAGCUCUUGCAAACUUGUAUGUAGCUAACCAACGGUGUCCAUGAGUCCAUCGCCCGUUUUGGACUCUUCGAGUGCCACAAAAGCAAAGCAAACCCGGCCCUCUGCGUAAGAGGAAAACUCUCUCUGCCCGAAGGCAUCAUCUUUCUGUUUGGCUUUAUUAUAACUGCCAUUUAGGGUAAGGGAGCAGGAAGAAGGGGGAAAGGAGGAGAAAGCAGAAAAGCAGAUGAAGAGAAACAGACAGCAACACAAAGAAAGGAGUCAGCAUGAAGGGAGGAAGAGAGGCAGUGACGAAGAGAUGAGUUGUGUUUUCUCUUGCUGGCUAACUGGAAGCAGAACAGUGUCUGAGUUACUACUUACUCGAAUGAUUUGGGCUGUAAACAUGCUUCAGUUUUUGCCUGAGACCCUAACCUUAACCUUUCGAUGACUUUUUCCACAUGAUUUUCAAAGGACAAAUCACAGGUCAGUUAGAUAACCCUGAGCAGACUUAAUAGCACCUGUUCAAAGUUAUAAUCCUGAAGAUUUCAUUAUAUCAAACCCAGUUGUUAUAGUAUUCAUGUAAUUUUUUCAGAUGCUGCCCCAAAUGUAUAUUACACGGGUCAUUUUGAAUGGAACGCUGGACAUGUAUUAUUAAUUAUUAAAACACUGGUGCAAACGUGAUAUGUCAAUGUUGUGUUUCUACAGAGCAAAACUGAACUUUUUCAGGGUCGACAGUGUUAACAAAUGUUUCCACUUCUUUUCAUAUUUUAUUAAAGGGUCUCAAUGAUGGAAAU